rnacentral:tRNA from 1 species
GGGCCCGUAGCUCAGUUGGUUAGAGCACU